GGCGCUAUGGCCGAGUGGUUAAGGCGACAGAUUAGAAUGAUAGUCCAUCAGGAUUUGAACCUAUCUGUUCCGGUUUCCGGGCGCAGGUUCAAAUCCUGCUGGCGUCG